CUGACGAGUGGCGGACGGGUGAGUAAUGUCUGGGAAACUGCCUGAUGGAGGGGGAUAACUACUGGAAACGGUAGCUAAUACCGCAUAACGUCGCAAGACCAAAGAGGGGGACCUUCGGGCCUCUUGCCAUCGGAUGUGCCCAGAUGGGAUUAGCUAGUAGGUGGGGUAACGGCUCACCUAGGCGACGAUCCCUAGCUGGUCUGAGAGGAUGACCAGCCACACUGGAACUGAGACACGGUCCAGACUCCUACGGGAGGCAGCAGUGGGGAAUAUUGCACAAUGGGCGCAAGCCUGAUGCAGCCAUGCCGCGUGUAUGAAGAAGGCCUUCGGGUUGUAAAGUACUUUCAGCGGGGAGGAAGGGAGUAAAGUUAAUACCUUUGCUCAUUGACGUUACCCGCAGAAGAAGCACCGGCUAACUCCGUGCCAGCAGCCGCGGUAAUACGGAGGGUGCAAGCGUUAAUCGGAAUUACUGGGCGUAAAGCGCACGCAGGCGGUUUGUUAAGUCAGAUGUGAAAUCCCCGGGCUCAACCUGGGAACUGC
rnacentral:rRNA from 1 species